GCUGAUAUGGCGCAGAUGGUAGAGCGCACCCUUGGUAAGGGUGAGGUCCCCAGUUCGACUCUGGGUAUCAGCACCA
rnacentral:tRNA from 1 species